UUCAGAGUUUCUUUUGUUAAGCUUCCAUAC
rnacentral:piRNA from 1 species